GAUGAACGCUGGCGGCGUGCCUAAUACAUGCAAGUCGAGCGAACAGACGAGGAGCUUGCUCCUCUGGCGUUAGCGGCGGACGGGUGAGUAACACGUGGAUAACCUACCUAUAAGACUGGGAUAACUUCGGGAAACCGGAGCUAAUACCGGAUAAUAUAUUGAACCGCAUGGUUCAAUAGUGAAAGACGGUUUUGCUGUCACUUAUCGAUGGAUCCGCGCCGCAUUAGCUAGUUGGUAAGGUAACGGCUUACCAAGGCAACGAUGCGUAGCCGACCUGAGAGGGUGAUCGGGCACACUGGAACUGAGACACGGUACAGACUCCGACGGGAGGCAGCAGUAGGGAAUCGUCCGCAAUGGGCGAAAGCCUGACGGAGCAACGCCGCGUGAGUGAUGAAGGUCUGCGGAUCGUAAAACUCUGUUAUUAUUGAAGAACAAAUGUGUAAGUAACUAUGCACGUCUUGACGGUACCUAAUCAGAAAGCCACGGCUAACUACGUG
rnacentral:rRNA from 1 species